rnacentral:misc_RNA from 1 species
CCGAGUUUACAACUCCCAAACCCCUGUGAACAUACCUAUACGUUGCCUCGGCGGAUCAGCCCGCGCCCCGUAAAACGGGACGGCCCGCCGGAGUGACCACUAAACCUUGAUAUCUUAUGUACUCUCUGAGUAAAACUUAAAUAAGUCA